rnacentral:rRNA from 1 species
UAUCCGGAAUUAUUGGGCGUAAAGGGCUCGUAGGCGGUUCGUCGCGUCCGGUGUGAAAGUCCAUCGCUUAACGGUGGAUCCGCGCCGGGUACGGGCGGGCUUGAGUGCGGUAGGGGAGACUGGAAUUCCCGGUGUAACGGUGGAAUGUGUAGAUAUCGGGAAGAACACCAAUGGCGAAGGCAGGUCUCUGGGCCGUUACUGACGCUGAGGAGCGAAAGCGUGGGGAGCGAACAGGAUUAGAUACCCUGGUAGUCCACGCCGUAAACGGUGGAUGCUGGAUGUGGGGCCCGUUCCACGGGUUCCGUGUCGAACUAACGCGUUAAGCAUCCCGCCUGGGGAGUACGGCCGCAAGCUAAGACUC